CAGCCGCCACGGUAAUACGAAGGGUGCAAGCGUUAAUCGGAAUUACUGGGCGUAAAGCGUGCGUAGGCGGUUUGUUAAGUCUGUUGUGAAAUCCCCGGGCUCAACCUGGGAAUGGCAAUGGAUACUGGCAAGCUAGAGUGUGUCAGAGGAUGGUGGAAUUCCCGGUGUAGCGGUGAAAUGCGUAGAGAUCGGGAGGAACAUCAGUGGCGAAGGCGGCCAUCUGGGACAACACUGACGCUGAGGCACGAAAGCGUGGGAGCAAACAGGAUUAGAUACCCCCGUAGUCCCUGUCUCUUAUACA
rnacentral:rRNA from 1 species